UAUUUUGUAACUAAAUAAGUUAAGAUUUUUUAAAUCUAUAAUAGUAUAAAAUACUCAAAAUAA
rnacentral:tRNA from 1 species